CGAGGGGCAGCAUAUAGAUUGCUUGCAUUUAUGAUGGCGACCGGCGCACGGGUGAGUAACGCGUAUCCAACCUACCCAUUACUAGGGAAUAACCCAGCGAAAGUUGGCCUAAUGCCCUAUGUAGUCGUUUGAUCGCCUGAGAUUUCGACGAAAGAUUUAUCGGUAUUGGAUGGGGAUGCGUCUGAUUAGCUUGUUGGCGGGGUAAAGGCCCACCAAGGCAACGAUCAGUAGGGGUUCUGAGAGGAAGGUCCCCCACAUUGGAACUGAGACACGGUCCAAACUCCUACGGGAGGCAGCAGUGAGGAAUAUUGGUCAAUGGGCGAGAGCCUGAACCAGCCAAGUAGCGUGCAGGAUGACGGCCCUAUGGGUUGUAAACUGCUUUUAUAUGGGAAUAAAGUGAGGGACGUGUCCCUUAUUGCAUGUACCAUAUGAAUAAGGACCGGCUAAUUCCGUGCCAGCAGCCGCGGUAAUACGGAAGGUCCAGGCGUUAUCCGGAUUUAUUGGGUUUAAAGGGAGCGUAGGCUGUUUGUUAAGCGUGUUGUGAAAUGUAAGAGCUCAACUUUUAGAUUGCAGCGCGAACUGGCAGACUUGAGUGCGCACAACGUAGGCGGAAUUCAUGGUGUAGCGGUGAAAUGCUUAGAUAUCAUGACGAACUCCGAUUGCGAAGGCAGCUUACGGGAGCGCA
rnacentral:rRNA from 1 species